rnacentral:snRNA from 1 species
AUCUGUUCUUAUCAGUUUAAUAUCUGAUACGUCCUCUAUCCGGGGACUGCAUAUUAAAUGGAUUUUUGCAUCACAGAGCUGGAGCCGGGGCAUGCUCCGCCCACUCCACGCAUCGGCCUGGUAUUGCAGUGUCUCCAGAAAUGGUGU